rnacentral:rRNA from 1 species
UACAGAGGUCUCAAGCGUUGUUCGGAUUCAUUGGGCGUAAAGGGUGUGUAGGUGGCGCGCUAAGUCGGGUGUGAAAUUUCGGAGCUUAACUCCGAAACUGCAUUCGAUACUGGCGUGCUUGAGGACUGGAGAGGAGACUGGAAUUCCUGGUGUAGCGGUGAAAUGCGCAGAUAUCAGGAGGAACACCGGUGGCGAAGGCGGGUCUCUGGGCCGUAACUGACGCUGAGGAGCGAAAGCGUGGGGAGCGAACAGG